rnacentral:tRNA from 1 species
GCCGAUAUGGUGAAAUUGGUAUACACGCUACCUUGAGGUGGUAGUGGCCUUGCGGCUGUGGGAGUUCGAGUCUCCCUAUCGGCACCA